rnacentral:rRNA from 1 species
GACGAACGCUGGCGGCGUGCCCAAUACAUGCAAGUCGAACGAGAGCGACCGGUGCUUGCACUGGUCAAUCUAGUGGCGAACGGGUGAGUAACACGCGGGUAACCUGCCCAUCAGAGGGGGAUAACAUCCGGAAACGGAUGCUAAAACCGCAUAGGUCUUCGAGCCGCAUGGUUUGAAGAGGAAAAGAGGCGCAAGCUUCUGCUGAUGGAUGGACCCGCGGUGCAUUAGCUAGUUGGUGAGGUAACGGCUCACCAAGGCCGUGAUGCAUAGCCGACCUGAGAGGGUGAUCGGCCACAUUGGGACUGAGACACGGCCCAAACUCCUACGGGAGGCAGCAGUAGGGAAUCUUCCGCAAUGGACGCAAGUCUGACGGAGCAACGCCGCGUGAGUGAAGAAGGUUUUCGGAUCGUAAAACUCUGUUGUUAGAGAAGAACAAGUGCUAGAGUAACUGUUAGCGCCUUGACGGUAUCUAACCAGAAAGCCACGGCUAACUACGUGCCAGCCGCCGCAGUAACAC